rnacentral:rRNA from 1 species
UACGUAGGGUGCGAACGUUGUUCGGAAUCACUGGGCAUAAAGAGCGCGUAGGCGGUCUGAUCAGUCAGGUGUGAAAUCCCCCGGCUUAACCGGGGAACUGCACCUGAUACUGUCGGGCUUGAGUGCAGGAGGGGAGAGCGGAAUUCCUGGUGGAGCGGUGAAAUGCGUAGAUAUCAGGAGGAACGCCGGCGGCGAAAGCGGCUCUCUGGUCUGUUACUGACGCUGAGGCGCGAAAGCUAGGGGAGCAAAC